ACUGUGCGGCACCUGCACUGACGUCGUCUCAUACGAUAUGACUUGUUUUUUUAAUUGAAUUGAAGCUUGUUGAAUAUACGCAUGAUAGCGUUGCCGGUGAACCAGACGUAAAAUUUUGAGCAAAUUCAGGGCAGAUGAAUUAACGAAAACAAACACAGCAGAGAAGUCGCGGGCACUCAGACACGAGAAUUAUCCGAAUCACGUAUGGCGUCAAUGGAAUAGCCUCAGAACUGCUAAUCAAGAAAUGUCGAAGGUGCGGACCGCACGACGGAAAAUAGCAAAUUACAAAUCAGCGGCAGAAUUGAAUGGAAAUCAAUUUAACUAAAUUCAAAUGAUAACAAUCAUCGUAGGAAAUUAACGACGAAGAGUUUUGUUGAAUAUUGCAACAGGAAAGUCAGAAUUACAGAGAUGAACAAGAUGUCUUUUAAGAAACCAACUUAGAAGCACAAGAGAUUUAAAGAGAAGCAGCCCCCAGUAUAACUACAAAAGAUUACUUUGGAGUCCAAGGUAAAGAGGAAGUGUUCUAUAUUUCAUGUUGAACGGUAAAAGAAGACAAGUACGGUCGUUCUGAAAAACUACAGUACAGAAAUCAUAUCUUGAGAGGAUCUUAUAUAUAGUAACAAUGUUCAAUGAUGGCAAAUCAACAUUUCGAACAAGAUCAAUUCAGCUUGCAACGACACGAAAUUACAUGGAAAAAAGACGUCUGGGACAAACUAUACUGCAGUAUCAAAAAGAAUGCAGAGGAAUUAUGAAACAAUUAAGAGAUAAGCAAUAUAGCUUUUUGAAAGCAAAAUAUCCGCAUAUAGUUGCAAGGAACAGCCUGAUCAAUACCACAAGAAAGGACAAUUAUCCCUUAACUAAAACAGAGUUUAAUAAACAUAAAUCAAACCCGCCUAUGAAAAUGACAACAAUUAGGCCUGCGACAAACACUCAAACACAAAAGGAAAUGAAUACGGCGGGA
rnacentral:lncRNA from 1 species